GGGUUGUGAGGUUAAGCGACUAAGCGUACACGGUGGAUGCCCCGGCAGUCAGAGGCGAUGAAGGGCGUGCUAAUCUGCGAUAAGCGCCGGUAAGGUGAUAUGAACCGUUAUAACCGGCGAUACCCGAAUGGGGAAACCCAGUGUGAUUCGUCACACUAUCAUUAACUGAAUCCAUAGGUUAAUGAGGCGAACCGGGGAACUGAAACAUCUAAGUACCCCGAGGAAAAGAAAUCAACCGAGAUUCCCCCAGUAGCGGCGAGCGAACGGGGAGGAGCCCAGAGCCUGAAUCAGCAUGUGUGUUAGUGGAAGCGUCUGGAAAGGCGCGCGAUACAGGGUGACAGCCCCGUACACAAAAGCGCAUGUGCUGUGAGCUCGAUGAGUAGGGCGGGACACGUGGUAUCCUGUCUGAAUAUGGGGGACCAUCCUCCAAGGCUAAAUACUCCUGACUGACCGAUAGUGAACCAGUACCGUGAGGGAAAGGCGAAAAGAACCCCGGCGAGGGGAGUGAAAAAGAACCUGAAACCGUGUACGUACAAGCAGUGGGAGCACAGGUUUACCUGUGUGACUGCGUACCUUUUGUAUAAUGGGUCAGCGACUUAUAUUCUGUAGCAAGGUUAACCGUAUAGGGGAGCCGGAGGGAAACCGAGUCUUAACCGGGCGUUAAGUUGCAGGGUAUAGACCCGAAACCCGGUGAUCUAGCCAUGGGCAGGUUGAAGGUUGGGUAACACUAACUGGAGGACCGAACCGACUAAUGUUGAAAAAUUAGCGGAUGACCUGUGGCUGGGGGUGAAAGGCCAAUCAAACCGGGAGAUAGCUGGUUCUCCCCGAAAGCUAUUUAGGUAGCGCCUCGUGAAUUCAUCUCCGGGGUAGAGCACUGUUUCGGCUAGGGGGCCAUCCCGGCUUACCAACCCGAUGCAAACUGCGAAUACCGGAGAAUGUUAUCACGGGAGACACACGGCGGGUGCUAACGUCCGUCGUGAAGAGGGAAACAACCCAGACCGCCAGCUAAGGUCCCAAAGUCAUGGUUAAGUGGGAAACGAUGUGGGAAGGCCCAGACAGCCGGAUGUUGGCUUAGAAGCAGCCAUCAUUUAAAGAAAGCGUAAUAGCUCACUGGUCGAGUCGGCCUGCGCGGAAGAUGUAACGGGGCUAAACCAUGCACCGAAGCUGCGGCAGCGACGCUGAUGCGUUGUUGGGUAGGGGAGCGUUCUGUAAGCCUGCGAAGGUGGCCUGUGAGGGUUGCUGGAGGUAUCAGAAGUGCGAAUGCUGACAUAAGUAACGAUAAAGCGGGUGAAAAGCCCGCUCGCCGGAAGACCAAGGGUUCCUGUCCAACGUUAAUCGGGGCAGGGUGAGUCGACCCCUAAGGCGAGGCCGAAAGGCGUAGUCGAUGGGAAACGGGUUAAUAUUCCCGUACUUGGUGUUACUGCGAAGGGGGACGGAGAAGGCUAUGUUGGCCGGGCGACGGUUGUCCCGGUUUAAGCGUGUAGGUGUGUGUUCCGUGUAAAUCCGGUUCACUUUAACACUGAGGCGUGACGACGAGGCACUACGGUGCUGAAGCAACAAAUGCCCUGCUUCCGUGAAAAAAGCCUCUAAGCAUCAGGUAACAUCAAAUCGUACCCCAAACCGACACAGGUGGUCAGGUAGAGAAUACCAAGGCGCUUGAGAGAACUCGGGUGAAGGAACUAGGCAAAAUGGUGCCGUAACUUCGGGAGAAGGCACGCUGACAUGUAGGUGAAGUGAUUUACUCAUGGAGCUGAAGUCAGUCGAAGAUACCAGCUGGCUGCAACUGUUUAUUAAAAACACAGCACUGUGCAAACACGAAAGUGGACGUAUACGGUGUGACGCCUGCCCGGUGCCGGAAGGUUAAUUGAUGGGGUCAGCGCAAGCGAAGCUCCUGAUCGAAGCCCCGGUAAACGGCGGCCGUAACUAUAACGGUCCUAAGGUAGCGAAAUUCCUUGUCGGGUAAGUUCCGACCUGCACGAAUGGCGUAAUGAUGGCGGGCUGUCUCCACCCGAGACUCAGUGAAAUUGAACUCGCUGUGAAGAUGCAGUGUACCCGCGGCAAGACGGAAAGACCCCGUGAACCUUUACUAUAGCUUGACACUGAACAUUGAGCCUUGAUGUGUAGGAUAGGUGGGAGGCUUUGAAGUGUGGACGCCAGUCUGCAUGGAGCCGACCUUGAAAUACCACCCUUUAAUGUUUGAUGUUCUAACGUGGACCCGUUACCCGGGUUGCGGACAGUGUCUGGUGGGUAGUUUGACUGGGGCGGUCUCCUCCUAAAGAGUAACGGAGGAGCACGAAGGUUGGCUAAUCUGGUCGGACAUCAGGAGGUUAGUGCAAUGGCAUAAGCCAGCUUGACUGCGAGCGUGACGGCGCGAGCAGGUGCGAAAGCAGGUCAUAGUGAUCCGGUGGUUCUGAAUGGAAGGGCCAUCGCUCAACGGAUAAAAGGUACUCCGGGGAUAACAGGCUGAUACCGCCCAAGAGUUCAUAUCGACGGCGGUGUUUGGCACCUCGAUGUCGGCUCAUCACAUCCUGGGGCUGAAGUAGGUCCCAAGGGUAUGGCUGUUCGCCAUUUAAAGUGGUACGCGAGCUGGGUUUAGAACGUCGUGAGACAGUUCGGUCCCUAUCUGCCGUGGGCGCUGGAGAACUGAGGGGGCUGCUCCUAGUACGAGAGGACCGGAGUGGACGCAUCACUGGUGUUCGGGUUGUCAUGCCAAUGGCACUGCCCGGUAGCUAAAUGCGGAAGAGAUAAGUGCUGAAAGCAUCUAAGCACGAAACUUGCCCCGAGAUGAGUUCUCCCUGAGACUUAGAGUCUCCUGAAGGAACGUUGAAGACGACGACGUUGAUAGGCCGGGUGUGUAAGCGCAGCGAUGCGUUGAGCUAACCGGUACUAAUGAACCGUGAGGCUUAACCUUACAACGCCGAAG
rnacentral:rRNA from 1 species